rnacentral:lncRNA from 1 species
CUUGUGAAUAUAUGAAUCAAAGAAAUGCAAAGAAUAUGUAUGACGGUUUACUUCUACUAUUACAAAUUUGAAAUCUUAAAAAAAAAUUGACAUGUACGCAAAAUAUGUAGACGAAUAAGAAAAUUAAAAAAUGAAAAAUGUGGAUUAGUGAAAAUGUGAACAAAUUAAUGCGGGCUAUUAGAAAUGUGGACUCAUAAAUGUGGAUAAUAUAAAUAUAUAUAUGAAUUCAUGUGGACACUAUUUUUCUAUAAUGUGAACAAAAUUUCGUAGAUGAUUUUUCAUCUGAUAAUCACCAAGGUUCUUCAACUUAUAAUAUAAUAAUUUAUGUAUAAGAGAUGUGAGAUCAUAUCUUCUUCAUGAGUUUGAACAGAGAACGACAAAGCUUGAAAUCUCAAGCUCGGCACAAUAAAGAAAAAGAACUGUGGCAGAUUGGAGUGGUGAGCACGAGUUUCAGAGGACAGCCGUCGUCACCACCACAAUCAAGUUAUGGUUUCAACUCUCUAACGGUUUUAUCUUUCGAUCUGAUGUACACCGAUCUGCUGGAGACUUCCCCGGUGACCACAUCCAAUCCAACACAACUAGCUCUUGAUCUCCGAUAAGACAGGUGUGAUCGAGCUCCAAUGGAUAAGACAACUCUGAUUUGUUGAUGUCCACAUCUAAUCUAUAAUUCUAUUAUCCACGUUUUGGUGUCCACGUCCACAU